GACGAACGCUGGCGGCGUGCUUAACACAUGCAAGUCGAACGGUGAAGCCCUUCGGGGUGGAUCAGUGGCGAACGGGUGAGUAACACGUGAGCAACCUGCCCCUGGCUCUGGGACAACCACUGGAAACGGUGGCUAAUACCGGAUACGACCCGCCUCGGCAUCGAGUGUGGGUGGAAAGUUUUUCGGCUGGGGAUGGGCUCGCGGCCUAUCAGCUUGUUGGUGAGGUGAAGGCUCACCAAGGCGACAACGGGUAGCCGGCCUGAGAGGGCGACCGGCCACACUGGGACUGAGACACGGCCCAGACUCCUACGGGAGGCAGCAGUGGGGAAUAUUGCACAAUGGGCGAAAGCCUGAUGCAGCGACGCCGCGUGAGGGAUGACGGCCUUCGGGUUGUAAACCUCUUUCAGCUCCGAAGAAGCGAAAGUGACGGUAGGAGCAGAAGAAGCACCGGCUAACUACGUG
rnacentral:rRNA from 1 species